CGUGGCUGGAGACCAGCCUGGGCGGCAGAGCCAGACCCGUCCCUGAAGCAGAUUCUCGAGCGCGUGGCCGGGCCGCCCUGGGCUGUGGGUUUCCAGGCCUCAUGCGGGCCAGUGCUCCUUUUUACCGGGCACCUUUGUCUUGACGUUUGUAAAUGUCAUGUGCGAUGGAGAUUGCCCUGUGUUUGCCUUUUCCUCCACUUUUAUAUGGUGGCUUUAAACAUUUUGGAAACUGUCGGCCUGAAAGGCCAAAAUCAUGAACGGCUUGCAGUUUUGGUUACACUGUGAAUCUUCGCACUGCAACCCCGUUUACCUUGCUGAGCGUCUCUGCAGAGGGUUUCCGUUACGGCCACUGGGGAGAGUUUAUAAGAAGCGGGUCCCCAGAUGACUGUCUUCAUGUGUCUCAAAGCAGAGAAGGGAUUGGAGCCGGGACAGACAGCACCAUAUAGGCGCGGGGGUAGGCUGGACUUGAGAGGCCUUAACAGGAAGAAAUCGCUCUCCAGUGGCGCUUUACCGUGCUGCGUUUGCGACACCGACCGUGAGCAUCCUGGAUUUCACGUUCUGUUCCAUUGAUCUUUAUGUCUGUCCUUAUGCUGACACCAGAUGAUCUUGAUCGCUGUAGCUUUGUGGGAAGUCUGAAAUCCAUGGUGUAAGUUCUCCAACUUUGUUCUUCCUUUUCAGAAUUGUUUUGUAUUCUUCAGCUCCAUAUAAGUAAACAGUGCAGUUUGUCCAGUGCCGCAGAAGCAUGCUGGUAUUUUGAUGCACAACGUGAGAAGAGCCAUCCUCGUGUGGUUUAACAUCUUAGGAGGAAGCCUCCGUCUUUCACGACUACCUCUGACGUUAGCUCCGGGUUUUUCAACACGUCCAUUAAAAGGCCAUUUUGCAUUUCGUCGUGACUGGCAUACGUUUGCUCACAGCGUUCCCUCAGCACCGGGUGGUGAUAUCCCCUCUCGUCCCCGGCCGGACUGUGCCUCCUCUCUCUUCUUGGUCAGCCUGUCUCAGGAUUUCUCAUCCACAGCGCCAGCAACAUUUUGGCUGAAUGAUCCUGUCUCUGAGAGCUCCACUGUGCAUUGUGAACCGUGGCUGCCACGCAGAUGUGGGUUUCGCAGGUCAGAUGUGUUUAGGGUCAACGGCUGUGGAGGAAAGGAGAGGGGUCAGGGCUGCGCGGAGGGAGAAGUGAGUCGCGGUUUGGUCAGGCCAGCUGGGCCUCCGCCAGGCUCCGGAGGAAGGCGGCCAUCAGAGAGUUCCCUGGACGCUGCUCGGCCUUCCCCUCCCGCCUUGCCCAUCCCUGGACGGCAGAUGCGGCUCAGCUCCUCCUCCCUUGGGGCCUCAGACUGGACCCCCCUUCCUGCUGCUGGGCAGCAAAGGCUUUCUGGGGUGGCAUUUCUGUGUUCACCCCAUGAAGGCACCUUCUCUCUGAAGCUUACACACAAAGAAGACUGGUUUGGGCCAUGAAACGUGCAGUGUGACAGUGACGAGCCGAGGGUCCCACGGAUUCCUAGCUCCCAUGGAGCCGUGUUCUAGAAGGCUUCCGGGGGAGCACACUCCCUGCUGGGCACCGAGGAGCCAGCCGCAGAAUCUCCCCUCCCCGAAGACGCACUGGACGCAAAUAACCUCAUUUUCCACUCUGUCCACACCUGUGAGGCUGAGGCUGCAUCUCAGCUGGAAAGUUAACACUUGAAUUCUAAAUAAUAAUAAUUACAGUUUCUGGUUAUUUUGAAUCCACUGACAGACCUUUACAAAAUAAUUGCACUGAUCAGUCCCAUGUGAGGUGCAGGGGAAGUUUCUUGAGCUGGCGCAUGAGGAGAACAUGAGGGGAAUUCUGCAGCGGUGUUCUGUUCAGUAAGUAUAAUUGCAAGGAGUGUAUCAUGUUAAAACGCCUGACGCAGUGUCUUGUAAUAACACAUGGUUUCCAUCAAGAAGCAGAUGUUUCUCAGCCUCCCUUAGAAUAAAACAUCAUAAUUUCACCACACCCACGGGCUCCACUGCAGGGUGAGAGCAGAGGCGCGCGCUGCACGUUCCAGAUCGGUCUAAUCGCAGCCUGAAAGCGCUUUCUAGGGAGAAGUGCCCUUAAGAAGAAACAACUUAUUAGAGUAUCAGAGAAAGGCGUCCCGGAAGAACUGUGUUCAGUAGCAGCUAUAGCUGUGGCUCGCAGAAAAGCACAAGUGAAACAAUGUCUUUCCUGAAGACUUGUGGCCCCUGGAUGUUCCUGACUUCAUGUUUCUAGGACGAAGUACAAAAGACACACGCAUUAUGCUUCAGAAGCUUUAAUUCCACCAUAGAAGGCACAGACGAGGUUUUUCUGCUCAUAUAGUGAAACCCUUCACAAAAGUUCUCUUUGAAAUGGAGAUAUAACUCAUACCAUAUAAUUCAUGCCUUUAAAACGUCCAACCCCGGGGUUUUGAGUCUGUUUACAAAGUUGUGCAACCAUCACCACCAUGCAGUUCCAGAGCGUUUCCGUCACCGAAAGGAAACCUCGACCUUUGGAUCGGAAACUUGCUUCUCGGUGUAAUGGAAGCCGGCGGCCACUAGAUGGGGACGUCUCUCCACCGCCUUGCAGGUGGGACCUGCACCCCAAGGAGGCGGGAUGGAGAAACCGCGCGCAGGAGGCCGAGCUCAGCCCCGUGCGACCUGCGGGCCUCCGGGCACAUGCCUUGCCCCUCUCUUCUCUCAAGACAGUUUCCCCGAAUGUCCGGCGCCUAGUCCUGUCCGUGCAUGAGGCUUUUCAGGCAGCACGUGCACAAACGUUCCUUAUUUUACUAGUUACUUAUUUCUUAUAUAUUAUUAUAUAUUAAUUUGAAUGUGUUACAGAGAGUAACAGGCACAUUAGUCCAUGAAGUCACUCGUUUUAUGUAGAAUGAGCCUAGGUAAUUAAUUCAAGAAACAAGUGACUGUAGGGUGACCUGUGGACAUGGCCAGGUCCUGGGGUGGGGGGCACGGCUCUGGACUCUGGACAGCACAGGAAGAAUGCCUGUGGAAGGAUUAAGUAAAAAUCCCUCGACUUUCAUGAGAAUGGGAAAGCCUGCUUCCAGGGACAGAUCUGUGCCCCACGCUGCCUGGGAAUCGUCCACCUGCCAAUUGGGGAUGACUCCCCCCACCUGUUCUCCCCUCCCCUCCCCUCCAAGCAGGAGGCCUUUGAUUCAUCUAUGUGAUCAGCCUUGGGGAAGAACUCCUCAGUCCUCAGAUAAUGCAAUCAGGAAGCUGGCUCUUUAUGGAAUUAGCCACCCGGCCGUGCUUGGAGUUAUGGAGGCGAGAAUGCAGGCUGAGGGGCUGAGAGGGGCCUUGGGUGGCACAUGGCCAUUGAUGGGCCAUAGCUUACAAUUUUGAAACCUGGAAAUCAGGGUUUUGGAAACAAACCUGAUGGUCAAUAGGUUGAGUAACUCGGUGUUCUGGGGCCUCUUUCUGCCUGGGACACAUCAGCUGGAAGGGGAGGCAGCAAGUUCACCUGCUUCGUGCCCUCCACCGCGGGGGCUUCGUGUUCCCCACCACGGGGGCUUUGUGCCCCCCACCGCGGGGGCUUCGUGUUCCCCACCACGGGGGCUUCGUGCCCCCCACCACCGUGCCCCCCACCGCGGGGGCUUCGUGCCCUCCCCCACGGGGGCUUUGUGCCCCCCACCGCGGGGGCUUCAUGCCCCCCACCACCGUGCCCCCCACUGCGGGGGCUUUGUGCCCUCCCCCACGGGGGCUUUGUGCCCCCCACCGCGGGGGCUUCGUGUUCCCCACCACAGGGGCUUCGUGCCCCCCACCACCGUGCCCCCCACCGCGGGGGCUUCGUGCCCUCCCCCAUGGGGGCUUUGUGUCCCCGACGGCGGCUCCCCAAGCUGCCCUGGCCUCUGCAGUGCCUCUGCCAGCCAAAAUUGCAGGCUUUGAAGGCCUCACAUGCUCAGGGUAUGGUUUGAUUUUGUGGCAGUCCUGGUAGGUAAGAGGCCUCCCCCCAUUUUCUAGAUGAGCGAAGUGACAUUCAAAGCCUUUAAGUAACUCUCUGUGAGCUCCGGUUCUUUAACUCCAGACUCUCAUAUGCGAUCCUUUCUCUGAAUUUUUCACUCGAGGAGGGUAAGGUGCUUGCCGGUAGACACACACGCUCUUGGCUUCGAGCGCGGUAACUACCCGCUUUGUCUUGGGGAAAACGUGGAGUGAGGAAACCUGAGACACCAGGGCUUCUCCGCCACACACCGUGUUGCAAUGUUGAGGAUGGGGUGGAAAUUCAUGUACUAACUGCCUUUAUGAGAACAGAUGAUGGCGUUGCGUAAUGUUAUUGUCUAAAGGGAGUGUUGUUUCCUAUUAAGCAUCUGCUUGAGAUGCUUGGGGCAGAAUAUAAAAGUCAUUUAAGAAAUAUUUGUUGAGGAAAUAAAUGAAUGAAUAAAUUAGAUAAGAAUAGCACCUGGUCUCAAAGAAUCAUCAAGCUAAUAAGAUCUUCUGUCGAGCCUAGAAAUACCGAAGUUCUAAAAGAAGCUGGCAGGGCUCUGCUGUGUUUCAUCCAGAUCCUCCACGACCGUCCGCCUCUGCAUUCCCGUCCGCCUUUGAAGUUUCCACCAACCCCGGAGGGGAAGAAAAAUGACAAUAAACAAUAAAACAUAAUACAAACAAAACGCCGUGUAACGCGGGUUUACGCUGCCUUCCAUGGAUGAGGUGUUCUGAGACGCGAAGCGCGUGGGGAGGCUCCGUUCCCGCCCGGGCUGCACCCGUGGGUUUUGCCGUGGGGGGACGCUCAGUCCCUGCAGCCGGG
ensembl:lincRNA